rnacentral:rRNA from 1 species
GAUGAACGCUAGCUACAGGCUUAACACAUGCAAGUCGAGGGGUAACGAGAGGAAAGCUUGCUUUCCUUGUCGACGACCGGCGCACGGGUGAGUAACGCGUAUCCAACCUGCCCCCAACUAGGGAAUAACCUUGCGAAAGUAAGACUAAUACCCUAUAAUUUCCUCAGAUGACAUCUGACGAGGAAUAAAGAUUUACCGGUUGUGGAUGGGGAUGCGUCUGUAUUAGCUUGUUGGCGGGGUAACGGCCCACCAAGGCAACGAUCAGUAGGGGUUCUGAGAGAAAGGUCCCCCACAUUGGAACCGAGACACGGUCCAAACUCCUACGGGAGGCGGCAGUGAGGAAUAUUGGUCAAUGGGCGGAAGCCUGAACCAGCCAAGUAGCGUGCAGGAUGGCGGCCCUGUGGGUUGUAAACUGCUUUUAUACAGGAAUAAAGUUAGCCACGUGUGGUUAUUUGUAGGUACUGUAUGAAUAAGGACCGGCUAAUUCCGUGCCAGCAGCCGCCGUAA